rnacentral:rRNA from 1 species
AUUGAACGCUGGCGGCAGGCCUAAUACAUGCAAGUCGAACGAGUGGCGGACGGGUGAGUAAUGUCUGGGAAACUGCCUGAUGGAGGGGGAUAACUCCUGGAAACGGUAGCUAAUACCGCAUACCAUCAGAUGUUCCCAGAUGGGGUUGGCUUGUUGGUGGGGUAACGGCUCACCAAGGCGCAGAUCCCUAGCUGGUCUGAGAGGAUGAACAGCCACACUGGAACUGAGACACGGUCCAGACUCCUACGGGAGGCAGAAGUGGGGAAUAUUGCACAAUGGGCGAAAGCCGGAUGCAGCCAUGCCGCGUGUAUGAAGAAGGCCUUCGGGUUGUAAAGUACUUUUAGCGGGGAGGCGUUACCCGAAGAAGAAGCAACGGCUAACUCCGUGCCAGCAGCCGCGGUAAUUC